rnacentral:rRNA from 1 species
GAUGAACGCUGGCGGCGUGCCUAAUACAUGCAAGUCGAGCGAACAGACGAGGAGCUUGCUCCUCUGACGUUAGCGGCGGACGGGUGAGUAACACGUGGAUAACCUACCUAUAAGACUGGGAUAACUUCGGGAAACCGGAGCUAAUACCGGAUAAUAUAUUGAACCGCAUGGUUCAAUAGUGAAAGACGGUUUUGCUGUCACUUAUAGAUGGAUCCGCGCCGCAUUAGCUAGUUGGUAAGGUAACGGCUUACCAAGGCAACGAUGCGUAGCCGACCUGAGAGUGUUAUCGACCACACUGGAGCUGAGACACGGUCCAGACUCCUACGGGAGGCAGCAGUAGGGAAUCUUCCGCAAUGGGCGAAAGCAUGACGGAGCAACGCCGCGUGAGUGAUGAAGGUCUUCGGAUCGUAAAACUCUGUUAUUAGGGAAGAACAAAUGUGUAAGUAACUAUGCACGUCUUGACGGUACCUAAUCAGAAAGCCACGGCUAACUACGUG